ensembl:lncRNA
AUCUCUACUUUGACGAGGCUCAACAGUGAAGCCGAACCUCUUCUGACUCUUGUACCGGAGCGCUGCAUUGUUUAGAAGAAUAUAGCGUUUAUUUUCCCCGCAAAUCCUCGGAGAUUAAAAUAUGGGUGAGAUACGCUUCGUACAGUGAUAUUAAUCGUAAAGGCAGUGAUUUAUCACAUGCAAUAGUUUACCAGGAAAGGUUGUCCGGGACUUUCAGUUCUUUCUGAAAGGAAUUUCAAGUCAUCUUUCGGACUUCAUUAAAGAAGAAAAUACUUUUUCAUCGGAGCGGACAAGUAAACGUUUAUUUCCAUGCAUCAGUUGUCCACGAUCUAGUUUAACAUCGCAUAAUUUAAGGACGAGUAGCCUACAACAUCGAAGAACCGGAUAUCAUCCAUAAAAUACAAUUUGACCAAAUGUCAAGGUUAGCCUACUAUAGCUGAAAUCCUAAAUUGCCAUCCAACACUAUGAUUAAACAACGCCGUGCAUGAGCUGUUUGUGUCCGAUACCUCCAGAUGCUUUUGUAGAUUAUUAAACUAACAAGCUCCUGGACGACAUUGGUAUUGUGCUUGUUGCAAUACAUUUGCUGACGUUUCACGGGAUUAUAGGUUGAAUUACAAUCUCUGGAUGGACGGAAACGACUAUAUGCCGUGUCGUGUGGAUUAAUGAGAGAGAGACACGCGUGGGAAUCGAGACACCUGCUACCUGUAACUUUUCUCUCUCGAAAGCUCUUCAUUGCGCUUACGUUCGCUGGUUGACACGGUCUUUUUCUAUUUAACGCUUAACUGGUUUGUUUGGUAUAGGCUAAUGGACAUGAUAGCUGUAGAUAAAGUUCACCAGCAUCACAAUCCAACAGAUUCUCGCUGGGAAUUCGUCGCUGGACUGUAGACGUCGAUCGGGAGAUAUUUUGGAGGAGCGCGGUUGUUUAUCAUCACAAACGGGAUUUAUUCGUGGAAACUACGAUGUCCGUUAUACGCUCUUGGAUGGAAACUCUGUUGCUGUGUAUGUUCAUUUCAGAUGGUAAGUCAAAUCUAAUGAUCUCUUCCUCAUGCGAUGUGUGGAAAGGUUAAGGAUGUUAAACUAAGGUCAGCGGUUAUAUGUUUCACAGUGCUAUCGUCGUCUUGAAAGUUUAGUGGCUCUCUGAGUGAUUAGUGGAGUUUGGAGCUGAUUGCUGAAUGGAAAUAAAGCAGCCCCAGUGUGCA